AUUGAACGCUGGCGGCAGGCCUAACACAUGCAAGUCGAGCGGAUGACGGGAGCUUGCUCCUGGAUUCAGCGGCGGACGGGUGAGUAAUGCCUAGGAAUCUGCCUGGUAGUGGGGGACAACGUUUCGAAAGGAACGCUAAUACCGCAUACGUCCUACGGGAGAAAGCAGGGGACCUUCGGGCCUUGCGCUAUCAGAUGAGCCUAGGUCGGAUUAGCUAGUUGGUGAGGUAAUGGCUCACCAAGGGGACGAUCCGUAACUGGUCUGAGAGGAUGAUCAGUCACACUGGAACUGAGACACGGUCCAGACUCCUACGGGAGGCAGCAGUGGGGAAUAUUGGACAAUGGGCGAAAGCCUGAUCCAGCCAUGCCGCGUGUGUGAAGAAGGUCUUCGGAUUGUAAAGCACUUUAAGUUGGGAGGAAGGGUUGUAGAUUAGUACUCUGCAAUUUUGACGUUACCGACAGAAUAAGCACCGGCUAACUCUGUGCCAGCAGCCGCCGUAAGAC
rnacentral:rRNA from 1 species